UGACAAUAGAAUAUAAACUUAAGUUUGCUUCUAUCUUCGUACGAUUGUGUUAUGGAUUUAUUGUUAUUUAGAUUGCAAAGUAGAAAUGACACAGACACACAGUAAUUUUAUUGUUUAAGAUUAAAUUCUGUUGGUGUGGCCGUGUGGGGCAGAAAGUGCAUCAACAAAUUUCUGAGAAAACAGCAAGUUUUUGUGUUGGAUGUUAUUGGUGAGGAAUGUGGUGGUUCAUACUGCAACUAUUACCUCAAAUGACCAACAACUGUGAUAGCGGUGACAGAAUCAGUUUAAUUCUAUGCACAUUCACAAUUCACUGCUUCAUAAAAAUAUUAGCAAGAGCCAAUAAAUAUAGAAUGCACCACAUUACCGUUAUGCAAAUAUUUUAAAACAGGAUGUUAAGUUCAACUCUUGAAAGCUGGGAAUGCUGCAUCAGUUUUGUUCAACCUCAGAAGGACUGAACAUCUCAGAUUUACCAAUCCUCCAACUGAGUGACCAUCAACAGGCAAUGAGACAGUGCAGUCAGUAUUGCCACAAAGUCUGCACACAUCAGUGUCAACAUCAAGACCAGACAUGGAAUAACUUUACCUCUCGUUCCAUUUGGAUGCGGGAAUUGAUCUGAAUCAACGACCACUUAAUCACUACCGUUAAUUAAGAAUAAUUAGAAACAACCGGUGUUGGACCAUGUUGGGCAAUGGGCAUCCAUUCGACAAACAGCACGAUGACCAGCAGCACUUAAUACAACUCUUUUACGAAGUCGACUCAAGUACGAUCAUAAACGACUCGAGACUACUACGACUCGAGACUAUUCCAAUUCAUCAACUGCCUGAUGAAGAUUAUUUAAUGGUCCUGGGACCACGAACUUACUCGCCCGUUUAGUGCGCCGAUUCGCCAGUUAUUUGUUUGGUCGUUUGUAUCGCAUCGGACUCAAACAUCAUCGCAAUUAACCGAAACUAGGACGCUAUUUUAAUGCCGGGAGUGACCAAAGAUAUUCUACCGGUGCUGGAUCGUGGAUCGAAUCAUUCGUUCGGCUGAGGAAUAUCUCGAUUUUUUCGGAUGACCUGGCGCAACAACUCACAGAUCUCGUCCAGGGUCAACUCGCUUAUUCCAUUUCCAUCCCGCCAUUCUGAGAUCCAGCGAAGAAAACUUUUACUCCUCAGAUGAAUUUUCCUAUGUCGUACUAAAUGAGAUGGUUGUCCCCCAUUCGACAUCGGAUGCCACUGCUUCCAGUCAAUCUGCUGGACAGUAUUCCGGCUUAACAGAUUCAUUUCUCAGAUUGUGUGAUUGUUUGAAAUUGCGGUGAACUUAUUUGUUUGUUAUUUUGUUUGUUUUCUGCUCUUCGUCUUUGUUGUGGAGCGUCUAGAGUAGCAAAUCAAUGUCAAACAGUUGGCGUAUUGGCCCAGCCGAUGCCACUGGAGAAAGUCUGAUUGGCGGCGAUCGUGCGUCCACGGCCAGUUUUAGUGAUGGUAAGUCAGAGAACGCUGCCGUAAUUGUUGUCAUAAAAGUGGUGAUUUAUGACUCCGGCCCCUUUAGUUAAAUUUCGUCUUCAGAAACCAAAAGGUUUUCCAUUCAGGGUUCCCCAUCUCUCAUACCGGUCUGUUACAGCAGUAUUCAACGGCGUACAACGACUAAUUUUUAUAUCAAGGUUUUUUUCUUUUAAAUGCUGCAGUGCAGCAAUGUUAGUAGUUUUGUGAGUAAAAGUUGAUUGGGGAAGUAUUGGGUUAGUACAUGCAUGGUUUUAUAUAUUAUAAGAACAGACAUGGGAAACAUUGGGAAGCAAUAGAGGGGUGUCACUUGGAAGGAGUAGGAAAUGAACCUGGGGCCUUUCUUAUCAUCACUAGGGGCCGCAACCAUUACACAGUGGUCUUACAUCCAAUUUGAUAAAUCUCCGGAAUUUUAUCUGAUCCUUUAAAGGGUUGGUUGAGAAUGCUGUGGAAUGUUUCAAUUUAGGCUGCACAGGAGGUAGCCAUUGGUUAUAUCUCCAAAUCGUCACGAGUUACGUGUUUGAAUGUUGUCGGGAAAAUGUAGGACUAAGAGGGUAAGAAGCAGAAGUACAGACUGCAGAGAACUCUGUGGCAUCGUCCAGAAAAAUGCGAAUACAUAAAAAAAGAAACGUAUUAAGUUACAAUUUUAUUUUCAACGGGAUGUUUACAUCAAUUAGCAUGAUUUCAUUUAUAGCUGAAAUGUUAGCAACGUUACUAUAAACGCGUAUCGAAGAGGACGUUACAUAGAGUGUUUAAGGAUUGAUCUAUAUUCUAUAGUAGUGUUGGUAGUUCUAAAUGGGCACAUUAUACGUGACUAUUUCAGUCUUCAUUCUGUAGUGUUGUGUUGGCAAUGGAGAAGUAUGUUUGUCUGAUUUGUGUUCUGGUCAUCUGUGUGGACAGUCGGUUUGACUGAGUGUUUGCUUGUCGAGGUUGUUUUUAGUCCCUCGUGCGCUGAACUCUUGCUUUUAUACGGCAGUAUAAAACUAAAUCAAUAAAUGUGUAAUUAAAAAUAACUUGUGCCUAGUUUGUGUUUUGUUUUUACUUUUCGGGUGUUACAGGAUGCAGACAUUGUGGAUUGAUCACCGUUUGGAGUUAAGUAUUUGGCUGUUGGUGAUGUGUUCGCCGUUUUGUUAUGUGAGAAGAUAAUUAUUUAGUGAAGACCAUUACGAGAAAACGUAGCCUACCGUCGACUAUUUUGUUCAAUAUGUGCUAUUUAAAUGACACACUGACAGGAUUCAUCAUAAUUAUCUGCUGUAAGAAUUGGACUUGCUAGAUCACCAACCCCAUCACGGACCAAUCUCUCAUUCCAUUUUCUAGAACCUUGGCUAACUGUUUGGUGGUUUGAUGUGUUUGAAACUAUAGGUUUCUAAAUUUGCAUGACAGACUAUAAGAAAAGUCAUGGAAAAAGGACUGUCUGACAGUCAACAAGGUAUGCUAUCUUGUUUGGUAACCUGUUGACUACUUAUAGAGAUUCUUCCUUUUUACUUUCUUAAGCUUGAUUUGAGGGUAACUCCUUCGCUACUUAUCAUGGACUUCAUCCUUUGGUGAUGCUAUAAUUCAAAAGAAUGCUGUCAUUCAAGACUAAUAAAUUGUGUAGUUGUUAGAUAAAAUAAGUACAUAUAUAUGGGCUCCCUCGCUAACCAUUGGCUGGGUAAUCCCCCUGUCUUGAUUGACUGUAUGUGCGAGUUUUAAAAGCAGUUUAUCACCCAAAUGAGACAAAAGAAGUAUGCCAGUUUGUUUUACUUGGGUAUAAAUUGUUUUAAAAUUUGCACAGAAAAACAUGUCUUGUUCCGGACGCUUUUUUUAUUGAAUUUCAACA
rnacentral:lncRNA from 1 species